CCCUUAGAUGUUCUGGGCCGCACGCGCGCUACAAUGGUCUUCGCAAACGGAUGCAUUCUCGAAGGAGAAUGCCAAUCUUGGAAUCUAUGCCUUGGUCGGGACAGUUGCUUGCAAUUUUUCGACUCGAACCAGGAAUUCCUUGUAAUCGUGAUUCAUCACAUCACGAUGAAUACGUCCCUGCCCUUUGUACACACCGCCCGUCGCUCCUACCGAUCGAAGAGUUAGGUGAAUUGUUUUGAUCGAUAAGAUUUGACUAUGGUCAACUCUCGUUGUGAAAUUCUGUGAAUCUGACUGUUUAGAGGAAGGAAAAGUCGUAACA
rnacentral:rRNA from 1 species